rnacentral:rRNA from 1 species
GUAGGGAAUAUUGGACAAUGGGGGGAACCCUGAUCCAGCCAUGCCGCGUGGAGGAAGACUGCCCUCUGGGUUGUAAACUCCUUUUAUAUGGGAAGAACCGUCCUCAUUAAUGAGUGACCUGACGGUACCAUAGGAAUAAGCACCGGCUAACUCCGUGCCAGCAGCCGCGGUAAUACGGAGGGUGCAAGCGUUAUCCGGAUUCACUGGGUUUAAAGGGUGCGUAGGCGGAUAAAUAAGUCAGUGGUGAAAUCAACGGGCUCAACCUGUUAACUGCCAUUGAUACUGUGUAUCUUGAAUAUGAGAGAGGUAGGCGGAAUGUUGCAUGUAGCGGUGAAAUGCUUAGAUAUGCUACGGAACACCGAUUGCAAAGGCAGCUUACUAUUUCGUAAUUGACGCUGAGGCACGAAAGCGUGGGUAGCGAACAGGAUUAGAAACCCUGGUAGUCC